rnacentral:lncRNA from 1 species
GGCCGUGUGGGGCAGCGUGGGCUGGUUGGAGUGCCUGGACUGCCUGGCUCGCGGGGCUCGCCGGGAGCGGAGGGCGCAGAAGGAAAGCCUGGUACACAGGGCCCCCCAGGGAUCGUGGGCAGCCCAGGCAGGAGGGGACCUCUGGGAUUUGCUGGUUUGCCAGGAGGCCGUGGGCAUGCUGGAACUCCUGGAUCCAUAGUAAGGAAAUAGAAAAUGUUCCUCUGCAUGAACUGUGUGUGCUUUUCUAGGUGGGAUGUCAGUGGG